UGGAAAAGGACUCACUCAGGAAAGUUAUUUAUUCAGCUCAAAAGGUGCUUCUUCCCAAGGAACUGUACUUUCCUUUCAAAGGCACUGGAUCGAAUUGGUGAAUUGAGUUCAUAAAAUGGGUUCAUUGCAAACUUUAUAUACAAGUCAUACACAUCGUUAAAGAAGUUCUUAAUUCCAUCUUCUUGCCUUACGUCAUGCAGCAUUAUAAAUC
rnacentral:lncRNA from 1 species